ACAUAGCCCCGAUAGGAACGGCAUCCUUUUUUGGAAUUGCGAUGGUAGCGUGGAUAAAAAAAAUUUCGCCGUUCGCAAUUACAAAAAAGAUAUAGUGGAUAGCGGGUUGGAAU
rnacentral:sRNA from 1 species